AGUUGUGAUCACACCAGCACUAAUACACCUGAUCCCAUCAGAACUCUGUAGUGAAGUGUGCUUGGGCGAGAGUAGUACUAUGAUGGGUGACCUCUUGGGAAGUCCUUGUGUUGCACCUC
rnacentral:rRNA from 2 species